GCUAGUGUGGUGUAGCGGUUUGAGCAUUGGACUGUGACUCUGUAGACCAGGGUUCAAAUCCAGGCUCAGCC
rnacentral:tRNA from 1 species